rnacentral:rRNA from 1 species
CCUACGGGUGGCUGCAGUGGGGAAUAUUGCACAAUGGGGGAAACCCUGAUGCAGCGACGCCGCGUGAGUGAAGAAGUAUCUCGGUACGUAAAGCUCUAUCAGCAGGGAAGAAAAUGACGGUACCUGACUAAGCAGCCCCGGCUAACUACGUGCCAGCAGCCGCGGUCAUACGUAGGGGGCAAGCGUUAUCCGGAUUUACUGGGUGUAAAGGGAGCGUAGACGGCAGCACAAGUCUGGAGUGAAAUCCCGGGGCUUAACCCCGGAACUGCUUUGGAAACUGUGCGGCUGGAGUGCAGGAGGGGUAAGCGGAAUUCCUAGUGUAGCGGUGAAAUGCGUAGAUAUUAGGAGGAACACCGGUGGCGAAGGCGGCUUACUGGACUGUAACUGACGUUGAGGCUCGAAAGCGUGGGGAGCAAACAGGAUUAGAUACCCCUGUAGUC